UGUAAUUGACAGAGGUAACUUACAAAACAUAAGUUUGAGAAAUACUCUUAGAACCUGAUCUAGUUAAUACUAGCGUAGGGAGUUCAAAUUCGUUAUUUA
rfam:Spiroplasma melliferum KC3 contig2, whole genome shotgun sequence.